rnacentral:rRNA from 1 species
UACGUAGGGGGCAAGCGUUGUCCGGAAUCAUUGGGCGUAAAGCGCGUGUAGGCGGCUUGGUAAGUCCGCUCUGAAAGCCCGGGGCUCAACCCCGGGAGGCGGGUGGAUACUGUCAAGCUCGAGUCCGGAAGAGGCGAGUGGAAUUCCUGGUGUAGCGGUGAAAUGCGCAGAUAUCAGGAAGAACACCAACGGCGAAGGCAGCUCGCUGGGACGGAACUGACGCUAAGGCGCGAAAAGCGUGGGGGAGCGAAACAGG